CAGUCGUGCGAGAAGUUCCUUCGGGAGCGAGUAAAGCGGCGCACGGGUGAGUAACGCGUGGGUAAUCUGCCCGAAGGUCUGGGAUAACUCCGGGAAACUGGGGCUAAUACCGGAUGAGACCACGCUGUCUGCGGACAGCGCGGGAAAAGGUGGCCUCUGCUUGCAAGCUACCGCCUACGGAUGAGCCCGCGUCCCAUUAGCUAGUUGGCGGGGUAACGGCCCACCAAGGCUGAGAUGGGUAGCUGGUCUGAGAGGACGACCAGCCACACUGGAACUGAGACACGGUCCAGACUCCUACGGGAGGCAGCAGUCGGGAAUUUUGGGCAAUGGGCGAAAGCCUGACCCAGCGACGCCGCGUGAGGGAUGAAGGCCUUCGGGUCGUAAACCUCUGUCGGAAGGGGCGAAAGGUUCUUGGGCGAAUAGGCCAAGGGCUUGACGGUACCUUCAAAGGAAGCGCCGGCUAACUCCGUGCCAGCAGCCGCGGUAAUACGGAGGGCGCAAGCGUUGUUCGGAAUUACUGGGCGUAAAGCGCGUGUAGGCGGCCUGACAAGUCGGGUGUGAAAUCCCGGAGCUCAACUCCGGAACUGCAUCCGAUACUGUCAGGCUCGAGUCUCGGAGAGGAUGGCGGAAUUUCCGGUGUAGCGGUGAAAUGCGUAGAGAUCGGGAGGAAGGCCG
rnacentral:rRNA from 1 species